rnacentral:rRNA from 1 species
GACGAACGCUGGCGGCGUGCUUAACACAUGCAAGUCGAGCGGUAAGGCCCUUUCGGGGGUACACGAGCGGCGAACGGGUGAGUAACACGUGGGUGACCUGCCCUCAGCUCUGGGAUAAGCCUGGGAAACCGGGUCUAAUACCGGAUAUGACUCCAUGACGCAUGUUGUGGGGUGGAAAGCCUUGUGCGGCUGAGGAUGGGCCCGCGGCCUAUCAGCUUGUUGGUGGGGNGAUGGCCUACCAAGGCGACGACGGGUAGCCGGCCUGAG